rnacentral:misc_RNA from 1 species
GAUGAAGAACGUAGCGAAAUGCGAUAAGUAGUGUGAAUUGCAGAAUUCAGUGAAUCAUCGAAUCUUUGAACGCACAUUGCGCCCCUUGGUAUCCCGAGGGGCAUGCCUGUUCGAGCGUCAUUUCACCACUCAAGCCUGGCUUGGUGUUGGGCGACGUCCCCUUUGGGGACGCGCCUCGAAACGCUCGGCGGCGUGGCACCGGCUUUAAGCGUAGCAGAAUCUUUCGCUUUGGAAGUCGGGGCCCCGUCUGCCGGAAGACCUGCUCGCAAGGUUGACCUCGGAUCAGGCAGGGAUACCCGCUGAACUUAAGCAUAUCAAUAAGCGGAGGA